rnacentral:rRNA from 1 species
UACGAAGGGUGCAAGCGUUACUCGGAAUCACUGGGCGUAAAGCGUGCGUAGGCGGUUCGUUAAGUCUGCUGUGAAAACUCGGGGCUUAACCCCGGGCCUGCAGUGGGUACGGGCAGACUAGAGUGCGGUAGGGGAGACUGGAAUUCCUGGUGUAGCGGUGAAAUGCGCAGAUAUCAGGAGGAACACCGGUGGCGAAGGCGGGUCUCUGGGCCGUAACUGACGCUGGAGGAGCGAAAGCGUGGGGAGCGAACAGG